rnacentral:rRNA from 1 species
GAUGAACGCUGGCGGCGUGCUUAACACAUGCAAGUCGAACGAAGCUGCUUAAAGGAAGUCUUCGGAUGGAAUUUAGGUAGACUUAGUGGCGGACGGGUGAGUAGCGCGUGGAUAACCUGCCUUAUACAGGGGGAUAACGGAGAGAAAUUUCCGCUAACACCGCAUAAGACCACAGCACCGCAUGGUGCAGGGGUAAAAUAUUUAUAGGUAUAAGAUGGAUCCGCGUCCGAUUAGCUAGUUGGUGAGGUAAAGGCCCACCAAGGCGACGAUCGGUAGCCGGCCUGAGAGGGUGAACGGCCACAUUGGGACUAAGACACGGCCCAAACUCCUACGGGAGGCAGCAGUGGGGAAUAUUGGACAAUGGGGGAAACCCUGAUCCAGCGACGCCGCGUGAGUGAAGAAGUAUUUCGGUAUGUAAAGCUCUAUCAGCAGGGAAGAAAAUGACGGUACCUGACUAAGAAGCCCCGGCUAAUUACGUGCCAGCAGCCGCGGUAAUACGUAGGGGUCAAGCGUUAUCCCUGAUUUACUGGGUGUAAAGGGAGCGCAGACUGCAAUGCAAGUCUGAAGGGGAAGGCGUGGGCUCAACCCAUGAAUU